UCAGUUGAUGGUAGUUUUUUGAGUUGUCUAAGCUGUCUGGGCAGAUGUGUGUUGGCAUUUAGAGAAGUGGAGGUGUCUGUUUGAGGUAAGAGCACUGGGACCAGUCAAAGUUCAGCAGCACACAUAGUAGAAAGUAUGCUUGUAUGCAGGUGCCUUGUGUUUUUCUGGAAUUCCUGACUCUAUUGAAGAUGGAACCUUGUUUUCUUCCCUGGUUUUGCUGUAUACUGUGUGAGCUGCUGAUAUUCUCUCUCUUAACAGGACUGAUGGUGAGAUCAUCUAGCAGGGCUUAGGUCUUCCCCACAGCUGACGGGAGGUACAACAGAGUCACAAGAGACGCGGCGUAAACAGUCUGGGCCUCCGCAUCUCAGUAUGCGGGGCUCAAUGUCAGAUGAGUCUCAUCUCGUAAGGCAUUAGCAGUGAUCCAGGAUGUGUCGGCAUAUCCGCUGUCGAGCGGUCUGUUUUUGGGGAACCCUUUUCUGGGACUACUUCUCAUUCAAAGAACUUGCAUUUUUAUUAACUUCUCAUCAGAGUGGAUCUUCAGCGAUGAUGUACUUGGCAGUAGAAGUCACCAGCAGCAAGAUUUUUCACUCUUUAAAAAAAAAAAAAAAAGAGAAAAUUUACUUCCUUCCAGAGACCCAAGCACAACAUGUCUUCCAAAAGUCAAUGGCAUUGCUGGUCUUUGGGUUCUCAGUUGUAACAGUUGAGAUAUCAUAAAAACAUGUUCCUUUCCAUGCUUCAGUACAGCCAAGAGCAUUAAAAUCUGCCAGUCCUUUUUGGUAGCCUUAUGUAUUGCAGCACUGGGGAUUUGAUUUUUUUUUUUCUUUUUCAGAAGAUUCCUUAUAUAGUUUUACUUCUAUCUCGCUGGUUUUUCUAUCGUAAAUGAAAUGUUAAAAAAACUUAAAUUGUAUAACCUGCAAAUUGACUUGCAUUGUUUAAACUGUAACUGCCAAAUAGCUAUAGCAUAUAACUUAUUAGGUGUGCUUAAGCAGUUAGGUAUUUUGUCUAAAUCUUGAAAAAGACAGGCAACUGAAUGUUAUGGGGGUUUUUCCUGAUAUUUUGAUGGAGUGCUCUGAAGUCCUUUAUUUCUGUCUCGCUUUCAAUGGUGCAUUUCCCUGGCAGUUCAGUAGCAUCUCUCUUGGGCA